UUGCUUUUUUCUUUUUUUUUUUGCUCUUGGUGCAGGUAAACAAGGAAGCGCAUCGGUCUGUUAUAACUGCACGCACGGCUGUUUGUACGCCCCAGACAGGUGUUUGCUCAACUGUGUUGUGCAAUAAGUGAUGUGUGUGACAAUAGCCUACAGAAACAGUGCUGUAAGUUGAGUGUUGACAAUUUCUUUUAAGAAAAUGUUUCCCUCUUCCCUGAAAUAUGUCUGGCUAUACUAUACCUGGCUAUUUCCUGCUCACAAAUGAGGACAGACCUCAGCUCACUGUAUGAGACACAUUUGCAACAGAAAGCAAGAUGGAACAACCCAGGGAAUUUUAUUUUUCUGCUUCCUGACCAGCCCAGAGCCUUUAUUUGACUGAUUUUUCUGGUCCAACAACAUGUAAUCAACAGAGACAGCAACUUUAAAUGUCUGUUUUAAUGGAGCUGUAAUUGUGCAGGUGCUCAGCAGCGCUAAUUCCACAGCUUGCAGGGUGGAAGAGGGCAGCUGCUACCCUGUGCUGAAGAAAAAUGAUGAAACCUGGGUAUAACCACGUCUAACUGGGUAUAACGGGGUGCCUUAUGCAAGGACGGAGGAAUUUGCAGUGGGACAUUGCCAGGUUUAUGGUUUGGUGUGUCUGCGUGUGCUUCCUCCUGCAGCUCCUGUACUGGGCUUUGUUGUAGGAAUUGAUGGCUGUUAACCCAAGGAAAUGCCAUCGACCUGGAACCUCAGCAGCCACAGAGGGUUUUGAAGAAUGCACAUCCCACGGAGGUGUUUGCACGUGGGUCCUCUUGCAAAUCCAAUCGUUUAAAGAUCUUACAGCUCAGGGGACCAGGCCUACCUCCAGCUCUCCCACUGGUUUGAUAUAUAACUUCUGGCAGAGCUGAGGUGACUUGUUCCUUUGUUUCUUGCCCCAGGUUUUUGCAUAUUUAUUCCCUGACUUAAGGUAGACCCUCCUCGUUCGUGCUGAUAACAUGCCUGGCACGGCAGGGCCUGAAGCUCAGGAGGCCCUCUAGAGAGGUAAAGCAAUGCAAACAGCAACUCCAAUCAACGAUAUUGCUAACUGCUGCUGUUUUAGCAGUUCUGAGUGGAUUAAGUGGUAUUAGCUACAGAUCCGUAAAAUUAUUUUUGAGGAAAGAAAAGAAGUGAAUUGGGAAAUCACAAGUCUGCAGUUCUUGAAGGAAAUGGCCUCUCAACCCUGUGUUUCUCUUUAUUUUCCCAGAAAAGUUCACCAACUUUGCCCUAACCUCGUCCCCCUUCACCCCCUGCGACGGGGUAGUCCAGGGGUUGGUUUGUGUCCCCGUUCCCCACCUCCCCCGAAAAUUAGGAGCUCUUGUUCCUGCUAAAUAAAUAAAUAAAGCCCGAGCGAGCAGACAGAAUGUACGAGACCCUGUUUUGCCUCCCCGAGCUGAAGUUAAAAAUUAUUCAAUGUAAAAUUCCUGGCCUGUGAAACAGAGGCUCCGUACUGUACCAGGCAAAGAUUUUCACCAGCAUUCUCUUGCUUAGCCAAGGCGGAGAUAACAGGCACUGCAAAGCACCGGGAAUAAAUCUGCUCCUCCGAGAGCCCGCCGGGGUGUUCAUCUCCCACCUUGUUUUUCCUUUGCUUAAUAAGGGACGGUGUGAACUUAGAGUUGAGAUUUGACCUGACUUUUUUUUUUCUUAAUGUGACCCAGGAUGAAUGAAGUUUGAUUUAUUUUUUUUUUUUUUUGUCAUUUAAAUGACAAGAGCAACAGGAGAGAGCAAGAAGAUACCAACCAAGAAACUGGUGUUGCCCAUUGCUUUCCAGAAAGACCACACUGGAUUUGGGCUCUCCAUCCGGACAGAUUCCCGAGCUAUCAGGAGGAGAGGUGCGUGGGGAGCAGCCGGGAGCGCAGCGUGCCCAGCUCCGUGUGCCUCCCACCAGCAGCUCUCGCCUGCCCAGGCACGCAUGGAGCACGCCGUGCUGCCUGAUAGCGUAUAAAUCCACCAGGCAUCAUCCCUUCAUCACGUGGGGAGACGAAGCAGGAGGAGCUGCUCACCAAGUAUAAAUGUCUGUAGAGCAAGAACUGCUAUUAGUGUGUCAGUUUUUGAAGUCUUGCUUUAAUCAGUGUGCUUUUGUAAGGGCUUCAGAAACUGCUCAUACUCUUGGCAUCUUCUGUUUUCCCUGCAUAGCAUGUUUAUAUCUACAACUGUGGUUUUCUUUCUAGUGUUUUUUUUUUUUUUAACCAUCCCUCUGAGGACAACCCUUGAUACUUCUUGCCCUGAUGAUGCACUCAUCAUCUUAAAGCUGUGUAAAACAGAUCUAAAAGGCACCGUGUCAGGUUGGGUGUUUGUCCCAGCCUUGCUAAUGCUGCUCGAAGUCAGCAGGCAGGUUGGUGUCAAAGAUAAAUUAUUAAGAUAAUUGACCAUGCGUUCAAAUUUUUUUGGAGUUAUUCCACAUUUUAGGGUGGGCAUUUGCUCAGAUCGGCCAUUGUAGUUUGGAUUAUGUAUUUUAGUCUCCCUAAUGCUACUUUUCAUGCAUCUAAGUCUGAUCAGCUUACUAGACACCAACGUUAAUUGCUUGAGUUGGGUGAAUUUACUCAAGUUCUGCAUGACAAAUCAGACUGAGAGUGGUAUUCUCACUGUUUUUAAAAUAUCUGGGAUAGGUAGAAAUAACUGGCAGCCCUUCCAUGUGUCUCCUUAAAAUUUCUCUUUGCUGCCAUCUCUUCCCUCUAAGACCUAACAAAGCACCACGUUCACAUCAUCUUCAACCCCUUCUUCUCUCAGGUACGUGACUGUUCUGUUUGCUGUCUGUUUGUGAAAUGGUUUGAGCUCAUCUAGGGAAGCCAAAGUAUUUUUAUCACAAAUGUAGAUGCCUGAAUUCCAGCAAGGGCCUCAGCACUUUCCAGCACAUCUGCAAAAAAAAAAAAAAAAUUAAAAAAAAAGGAAAAAAAAAGGGGGUGGAAUGGCAGGAAGGAAGCUCCAUCACAACCACCUUCCUUUUGUAUCUGCUCCCAUCACCCUAUAGUCACUCAGGCCCUGGCUCCAACCUUUCAAAUAGCUCCCAUCUGCUGCUGCAAACGAUGUGAGUGCUUUCAGGCACCGUGGUGUGCUUGGAUACCUGCUACCUGUCCUGUCCCAUCCCUGGGGGAUGCAUCUUCUUUUCUUGCAGUAUUCCAAAAUCAGCUGGACUUACCCUACGCCUGCUGUAUCCACUGACACAGGUGUGGUUGCCAGCAAUGUGGACAGCGGCAAGUAAACAGGUGCAAGUAUCACAGAUUAGGAAAGCCGCUUUAAAUUUAAUAGCCCAACAGUUGGUUGGAGUUGAAACAAUCCCAACGGAAAUAAUCCCCCUGCAUGUAAACCAAGUCUACGAGGGAAAAUGCGAUGUGGCUGCUGGCGGCCCCAAUAAAGCAGGGAGAUGCUGAGGAUUUCUGGCCAAGAGCUUGUUUGCCACGGAGGCUGCACGUCUGCAGCCGUGGCUGGGUUGUGCCCCCUGAGCCCUGCUGGUGGGAGACCUCUGCCCGUGCCAGCAGCAAAGCCGAGACGCCGAGAACUUUUAUUCCCUGGGGCUACUGAGAAGCCGGGGCGCUUUGCAUUUCAUAAGAGCAAGGGUGUUAAUUGCUGGAUGCGUGCACGUGUCGCUCCUAUCAGCAAGGGUCAGCCGCCCGUACGGUGGCCAAAUGCACCUACAGGCAUCCGAUGCUCUGCUAUCACCCCCUGAAAAUAAAUAAAAUAAAAUAAAUAAAAGCAGAGCUCCAAGCUUUGCUAGCUGUGGUUGGGGUGCCCCAGUUUGCCAGCAUGAGGUAAUGCUGACACCUUGUCAUUUGCAUGCGUGUUCUACUUUAUGAGGUGGUAAUGAGGCUGUGUGCCGGCCUGGUGUCUCCUCUGCAGUUGUGUGCUCGCCGUCACCCACAUCCUCGCUGCCUGUGAUUUGAAUGAGUAAUCCCUGGCGUUUGUUUCCAAGCAGGUGGCUCUGGCACACCCUGACUCCUGCAUUCAAAUACAAGAGGAAGGUGCAGGAAGGGGGUGCCGUGACCUCAUUUCAUGGAGCAGGACCAGUGCUCCACCUGGUAAAGGCACAAGUGGCACCACAUGAGCUUGUCUCUGGGUGCUGUAGAUGGAAGGGAUGCAUGCAACCGAAAAGAUGGAUUGCUACAGGGAGAGCAGGCACUCCCUGACCUUCAUUUUCACAUUAAAGACAGAUUCAGACCAAAACUCACAUCAGAUUCUUGACAAAUUGUUGGAAGUUUAGUCACCUGCCACAAAACUGCAUCUGGGCUUGAUGUUCCCAAAUAUUCACACCAUGAAACCUCUGCCUGAGUCACGCAAAUGCUGAAGCUAUGUGGCAACAUGAGGUUGGAGCUCUGUGAAUUUGGGCCCAAAUUCUGCUGAGUCUCCUGUGACUGUGUGCUGUGAAGUUGAGCUGAGCUGCCCUGAGCAGGAGCAGGGCUGUGGGAUGCUCUCAGGUCUAACAGACGCGCGUUCCUCCGAGCAAAAUGCUGCUCAGAGUACGGCGACCCAUGGCUGACCCUUCCAGACAUUGUCUCUGUGCUGCAUAUUCAUAGACUAAUGUUGUUUAGAGAUUGGCAAAGCUCAUUAAGUAACCUAAUUUUUACAGAUGCUUUUGGGCUGCUGCGGGUGGUACUAGUCGGUUGUUGUCUUUUUUUUUUUUCUAUGAAUUGCUGUGUUACAUCCUCCCAUCCCUGCCAUGAAGCCUCCAUUUCAAAGGCCAGGCUCUCUGCACUGCUCCGGGGGUUCCCUUUCUGCCUGGGAGAGGUGGCGACUCGGCAGCUUUUUGUCUGCUCUUCCAGCUGAGAAAAUGGAUGUGGACCCGCUAUGGACACGCGCUGGAUUUUUCAUGGGGGAUGCUGUACCUGAGCCACACGGCAGGUUCAUGGAGGAUCAAACUUAAGGAUCAUCAUGAAGCUUGGCAUCCUGCUGUGGAUUUGGUGGUUUUGCUUCUGGGUCAUUUUUCCUCCGUGGCUUCGUCAGCUUGCCAGGUGCAGGGUUUCGAGAAAGCAGGUAGAUGCAAAGCUGUUACAACACGUCGUGGAAGUGCGAUGGGAGGGAGACGCUUACUCACGGAGCCGUGCCGUGGGCUGGUGAUUCAGAUGCCUGCAUGCCAUCAGCCCCGCACCACGGGGCUGUGCUGGGGAGGCACGAGCAGGAGGAGGGAGCUGCCGCUGCUGGUAGGUGCUCACCCCUGGCACGAGGCAGUGGUGAAGUCAGGGCUGCAUUUGCAGUGUCACGCGAUGCAAUUAGGAAAGAGCUGCUCUGUUGGUGACUGCUGUCUGAACCGGCAAGCCCACAUCAGAAUUGAAACCGUCUCUGCGUGGGCAGAGAUGUUGACAGUGCCACUCGGUUGCCCAAUAGGUUCCCGCUUACAGAUCAAGCUGGUCUGAAGGGAAAAGGAAUACUGCUUGCCCUAAUGAAAAGAUAGGGUUUGUGGGCGAGGAGAAGAAAACCGGAUCGAUGUUCAGAGGUGCUUUGCUGGACUGUGUCAGCUGGAAAAGCUUGGCUGCUGCUGCUAAUUCUUGAUGGGCAAAUGGAGGUAAAUAGUAUGUCAGCCAUUCUCCUUCCUCGUGUGAUCUUAGCUAAGUGGCUUUUCCCUCAGCCUCCCUUUCUUUACAUGUAAUAGAUGCUGUAGCGGUUGAGGAAGUUGGUCAAUCAUUCCAGCAAAAUAGUGUGGGAUUCUCAGCUAUUGCCUGCGUUUAGGCUGUGGUACUGGGGUUGUGUCUACAUGACCUCCUGCAGGUUCAUGCCAGCCUUGACCCUGCUAACCCAGCAGCCCUGUUACAGCUCUGGUUCAUGGUGACUUGGCCAGCCUGUGGUCUGGUACCAGCCUACCUGCCCUUACCGCCAGCUAUGCACAUCUUCCAGCAGCUCUGAGCACAAGGAGGUGGUUCACGCCAGCCACCAAAGCACGUUGGGCCCUUAAAAUCCCACACCCAGCAUGAAUCAGGCCCUCUGAAAGAAGCAGUGCUUCUGCCCAGCUGUGAGCACAGGCUUUGUGCUCGUGGUUGUUCCACGAAUUGAUUGACUACCAGAGCUUUCCAAAGCAGCUCAGCAGCUCACUUGGUUUUAGAAAUCCGCAUUUGAAGAACAAAGGUCUGUAUGGAGAUGAAGUGUGAUGACGUGAAAUGAAACUGCGUGCAAAGGGGAGAACAUUUGUCAGGGCUGCUCUGCAGAGCCAUUAACACGACCACCAAGCUCCGUUUACCUGUCUGGGACACGGGAGCAGUUGCUGGGCCUGUCUGAAUGUACAAGAGAUUAACAGGGCAGGAAAACACCUGCUUCCACUUAACUGAUCUGAGAGGAAACAAAGGGCAAGAAAAGCUACGGCCUGAACAACGCAGGAUUGGAUGAAAGCUAAUAUGCAGCUUCAGAUUGGCAGUUGGCAGCCAUAACCCUCAAUUUAAAGCAGCUGAGAGCCCCAGCUCUUUAGAUCUGAAAUCUUGCUGCUAUGAAGAUGAAAGACUUUGUUUUCCCUCCUUUUUUUUUCCUUUCUUUCUUUUUCUUUUCAUUCAACUGUGGCCAAAUGGGGAGCAGGCAGAUGGGAGUCCAGGCAAACCCAGGUGCUGAGUUGCUGCACUUGAUAAUAGGCAGCGAGGAGUGGCAGGCAACCCUGCCAGAAGGAAAGGCAGAAGUGUGCAGAUCCUUGUGCAGGAGCUCAGGGACCCCCUUUGGUUUCCCUGGUGGGAAGAUGAGGUUGAUUGGGACUCAUUGAUGAGUACAAUGUAGGCUUUAGUGUCGAUAAGGGAUGGACAUUCUGGUCGUAAAGAGUGGAUUCUGGGGCCUCUCAUUGAUUUUGGUGGGUCUGGCUGCUUGGUGUCUCUGCAAACAAGGUUUUGAGGAAGGUUUUAUAAGUUGGAUUCUCAAAAAAUAAUGUAUUGAAUCAAAGAGCAUUGAAAAGGUGAGCAAAAAGGCUAGACAGUCCUUAUUCGAGGCUCAGCUCCGUGGCCUGGCUGUGUGAGCUACAUUUCAUUCACAACUUGGGCUCAGCAUCGUUUGAAGUAUGCUGUCAUUAGGCUCGUGUUUUAACUCUGUUUGCUUUGAUUGCAGCAGGAACGCUUCUGCUGGCUGUUAACAAACUGGUUACACCAGGGAUACCCACCACAACGCCGCAGACCAGGCCCCUUGAAGGCUGCUGUGCAGUGAUUAAAGGAACGGCCCCUGGCCUCUCCUGGGGCUCUCUUCAGUGCCAGGUUAAAGGGUUUUGGGGUAGGGAGGGUGCCUUACCUUUCCCUCGUUCACCAGCUUGUGCCCUAUGGAAGCAUAAUUUAAGUCUGGCAGAUUGGAUGGUUGGCUCCAAGUUAGCAUGUUUGCAAAAAAGGGAAAAACAGAAGGCAAGGCUUGUAGGAUCAUAAAACUUUCUUUCUCUGUUCAAAUAAACACGCGUUAGCCUGACUUGCCUGCCUACCACUUCUGUCAUCUUCAGAGCAGUAAAGAAACAGCGAAACGUACCCGUGACCUUACACAGCACCACUGGCAAAACGUGUUUUAGCUGCAGAGUGUUUGAUUGCAUGCGAGCUGUCCCUCCAGGUUAUUGUACCUCUCCAAAGGCUGCAAGGAGCAGUGCGCUUCUCCCCUCCUCCUUUGCUUGCUUAACUUGUUAAGACAUGGAAGGUUACUCCUGCUAUGACUCCUAUUCCUGACCUGACAGGUGGUGCCUUGCACUGAACUUUGCUCUCACAAACGCAGUUGGGUUUCACGUAUCAGCCUCCCAUUUAGCGGGCUCGCCCCAUCUGCACAGAAUUCGGCAAUUCUGGCAAGGUGUGCUGCUGCAGUCACCCCUGCUGCUGGGCUGGGGAGUGCUGCUGAGCGCUUGCUGCCCAAAAAAACACAGGCUGGGGAUGCCACGCGUUUAAUCUCAUGCCUAUAGCUCUGUACAUUGUGCAGUGAGCUGCUGAGCGCAGGUACGAAGAUGAAAGAGGCGGAGGUGAUGCAGGAAGCGAUACUGCUGCCUGCAGAUGAAAGGAGGGAGCACCUUUAUGGAUCUGCCCCAGUGUGACCCCUCGGUGCUGGGCUGCGCUAGGAACAAAAGAGCUGUAAUAUUGGAUCAGAAGUCCAACGUGCUUGGCAGCCUGAUUUCCAGAACUACAUAAUAGGAACUUAUGGAAAAAAAAGAUACGUGAACUGCUAAGAGGAGUGGCUGUGAGAUAGUUUGUUGAUGGGAGAUGUUUAUUUUUGACACAAGAAAUGCUACGUUUGAACUGUGUGUCAAGGAGUCUUUGCCUUCUUUCUUUCUUUAUCCCACCUAAAACCAUGGGUGUGCUCCUAUAGCCAGGGUUAGUGUGUUUUCACCUAUCUGAGCAUUUGCUUCCUACCAAAGUUUUGGUGUCAGUGACAUCCUGUGGUGUAGAAUUACACGUAAUUGGGGUGGUAUUUUGGGGCAAGAUUCCUGUGUGCUUCAGCUUAUCUGCAUUUACCUGAGGAAGAAUUAUUAACGUGAGGAUUUGGUUUGCAGUCAAGUGGUUGUGGCCCAGAUGUAGCCCAAUUGUUCUGAUAACAACAGAAAUGGACGUUGCAGUAGAAAGCGUAACAAGUUGCACGUUAAUCUUGUUAAAGAUUAAAAAUAUGUAAUAAGGUCUUCUCCAGAGAUGUACUUCAUGGAAAUUAUAAUGUGCAGAGCCAACACCUUCAGCAUAAAUACAUCCUAACAGUGUGCCAGGAAUUAAAUAUUAUUUCAAGGAUAGUUUAUAUCUCUUGUUACAAAUAAAUAAAGUGGGCAAGUGUUUGCCCAGUCUAGUUACCUUGUGCAUUGGGUUUUGCUGCUGUAAUAGGGUCAAGCUUAUAAGAGCAGGAGGAGCAUUUGCAUCCCUGGAGCACAAAGGGGUUUUGCAUGUAUAGACUGCAGACUUUGGGCAAAAUGCUAUUUGCACAUGCUCCAAAUUAGUUAAUUUACCUGUGUAGCAGUUUUGGACCUGCAUUUGAAUCUCUCGGAGUCUGACACAGGGUACCUGCUGCUGAGCUAGUUUCCUGGCCCAUGGAAUGAUAAAAAUCUCAGCAGCUUGGCUUUGAAAGAUCAUAAAGCUCUUGAGAAGCCUCACCUCAGCAUACAGGGGAAAAAACUUGUUUACUAUUGCUGCUAGAAGAGAAUAUGAGAGGCUCAACAGGCCAGGUCAUUAAAAAGCACCAGUAGGUCCUGUAUGGCUUAGUCCUCUGCUGCAUUUUAUGUAUGCCACGAAAUGCUGCUUCUACUUAAUGCUAUAAAUCAUUUAUUGAGGACUUGAGCACUUCUGAGUCCAGCUGAUACAGGACUAUCUCUGAUCUAAACAGGCUGUUAAACAACUUUUGAAGAAUAGAAGUGAAAAUUGUUUUUAAUUUCACAGCCUUACAUGGCAACAUAGUCCGCCGGCUGUCAAUAGUUGUACCAGCUGAAAUAGGAAGGUGUGAGAAAUCAGAGCAGUGGGCUGGACCAUAACAGCUUGGAUGUUCUGGCUCUACAACAGAUUUUUCUGUAUGAUCUCGAGCAAGUCACUUCAGUUUUCUUAAUCUCUCUGGUUCAAUUCCUCCGAUAAAAAACAACAUUCUUUACAGAUACCUUGAAGCUAACAUCAUGACCUUUUGUAAGGUACACAGACAGUGCAGAUGGGCUGAAAGAUAUCAAAGACACUAAACCCAGACUCGUUCCACAGACGGAUCAGUGGUCAGUCGCAUUACCAUAUGUGAGGUUUUCAAGGGGGAUCUUUUAGAGAUGUCGAAGAAUUUUGUAAACAAAAUUAGCGUAACUCUCUCAUUGCAGAUGCUGGGUAAGUCUCCCUGAUCUGAAGCUUCUAGUGUGCUUGCAACAAGGUACAACAGCCACGUACAGAUAGGACCGAGAUGACAGUGACGUGUUUAGGUGUUUAGCGUUGCCAUCAAGCAAGUAUGUCAUAUGUAAAUAGCCUUCGUUUGCAAACAAAUGGCGCUUGUGUACUAAUCAAGGCCAGAGUGCAGUUUAUUGCAGAUAAAAAGUAAUUUCUUGUUGUGAUAACAGAGAGGUUCAUUUGCAGUCAUUUCUUGUCUUUUUCUGCGGAAAGAUAUGGUUGUCUUAUUCCGUCACAAAACUCAGUUCUGUGUUGCCUGUCAAGGCCAGCUAGAAGCCAGCUGCAAGAAAACAGAGGCCAGAAAAGAGCGGUUGUGGGGAGUUCCUAAGGAUCCAGUCUCUUGGACUGAUGCUAUGUAGAGGAUAAGGACCAUUGCUCAAACCUAGGGGUGGCUCAGAUAGGUCACUGAAAAAAAAAAUAAAUCAGAAUUGGGAAUGACUUCUAUGCUGUAACUCAGGCAGGAUAGAGGUGGUGAUGCUGUUUACAAAAGGAGGGGGAGGCUUGUAAUUCAUAUAUACUGAUAUAAUUCAUGUACCAAAGCCACGUCCCAGCCAUUUUCUGAUGCUGGAGAAAAUAUGUCUGCUUGUGUCCCAGCUAAGAUAAUAAUCUACAUCUCUGAUGCUCACGUAGGUUAAAAUCUCAAAUAAAUGUUGAAGUGUCCAGAUGGCCCAACGUGGAAGUAGGCUACAUCUAUAUUGUCAUACAGGAUGGUGUUGCAGCAUAUGCUGACAGAUUUGUGCUAGUUUUAUUAAUUUGGCUGUUGAAUCGCUGUCAAGACAGCUGAAAAGAUCAAAGCAAAUGAAUCUUUUGAGACAUGUAGGGCUCUGGCACCAGGAUUUUACCACCUGUGUCGUGGCCAAUGUCACUCCAGCAUCACACGUGUUAACAAGCGCUGAGACGUGCCUCCACAAACCUCUACCCCACGUCACGGUGCAUGUAUCCCAUUGGGAUAUGUUUUUAGGAGGUUGGUAGUUUCCUGUAGAUUAUAGAUGCUAUCUAUGCUAACUGCCGUCCAAAGAAUUGGACACUGAAAUCCUGUAUUUGGAUUUCUGUUUAUUAACUUUGACUUCUAAAUUCCUUGGAGGGUGCGCAAAUGCCGAUUGGGAUGCUGCAGGCAUAAGUUUCUUCUCCAAAACGCUGUGGGCUAGAUUUGUCCCAGACAAAAACACGUGUCUUGAAGCGACAGCUCCAGCAAGUGGGAGAAGAAAAGGAGAAAGCCAGCUUGCUCUGAAGCACAGCCGAGAGUAUAAUCAAACUGCAAAUUGUAUAACACCUUGCAGGAGAAAUCAGUCUUUCGCAACUAAAGGUUUCCAAGGUUUCUCUUGAGUUAGCUGUGGGGAUAAGUUGUGUCUUAGGGGAAUUCUUCUGCCAGUUGGGCUAAUUAACAUGAUAAUUUGUUGUUUCAUUAGCUACAUCUUUCAUGGGAAAUGAGUGCAUUUCCUUCAUAACAAGGAGAAAACAUUUCACUUGUUUUUCUUUUCUCAUGACACUGCUGAGAAUUCACUGAAAACUUCCUUGAAAAGGGCUGAAACUGGUGUAAAGAAAGCCACAGUCUGGAUUUGUUUUAAAUGCAGUUAUUAAUCAUAGCGAGGAGUGAACACUAGUUCUGUAUCAACCCCUUUCCUACAUCCUUCAACACUUUCAAAACAAGGUUAUCAUGGAAGAGAUUCCACUUGUCAGCAUCCCAGAAGCAUUUUGUACAGGGAAAGGGGGGAAAUAUGGCUCUGUCGAUUGUAGCCAAAACAGAACUUUUUGUCAGCAUUGAGAAUGGGAUUUCUACCUGGCUACACUAGGAGUAAAUACCACAGAGGUCAUGGUGCCUGUGACUGGAUGUAGGAAUCCAGUCGUAGGCUUCUGCUCUUACUAGCUUGUGUAUCUGUAGACUUGAGUUAUGGUUGAACUUUUUAUUAAUUUCUGAAAUAAUUUUGGAUGUCAAGACUAUAUGGUGAUGGGAUUCAAGCUGCUCUUAAGAUUUCAAAAAAAAAAAUAAAAAUCAACUCUUGUGAAUUUACCAGCAAAAUUACGUGCGUGUCCUUCAGCAAGUCCUUGCAUCUGUGCCUUAGGUCACCCAUGUUUGGGAAAGCGAUCAUCAACCCACCCAUGUAACUGCUAUUCCAUUCCAAAUUGGGUGACCUAGGAGUGUUCCAGUUGAAUAAUCUGAUUUCUAAUUCAACGGGUGUCAUAUUCUGGUUGACUGAAAAUGAGUUGGUUUCUAAAACACUUGAGCCAUCUCCACACUGUUGAAUGCCGCUUCCUCCUGAACCCUUGGGUGCCUGCAGACCUCUAUUCUUCUCCCCCACAUCUUGGGGGUGUCUAGAAGGGGUGCGAGGCAUACUUUGGAGCAGUAGUGCCAAAUUCAAGUGUAAACUCAAUAAAUAGUUGAAUCUUUGUUCACAGCAGCGGUGGGGAGACCCGCGUGCCCCCGGAGAGGCCGGUGUGUGCAAGGCAGGGCUGCAGCACGCCAGUCGGCCUGGCUCGGCCGCUCCCCGAGCGGAGGACACACCUGUUAAUAGCUAGAGGCCAUGAGAUUGGUUGGACGCGAGGAAUGCACCUGCGCAGGGAGGGGUGAAGGACUACAUGUAAGACGAGCCCGUAGACACUCGCCGUCUCUUCUCAAUUCCAGCUUAAACAAGCAACAGCGCUCUGGGCUGCGAAGAAAGCCAUGCGUGGUUUCAUCCUUUGCUUUCCUUUUUUAUUUUAUUUUUUAUUUUUAAAUUUGAUUUCAGUAGGCUGAUACGAUUUAGAAGUGUUGUUUUUUUUUUUUCCAGGUACAGUUGUAUUUUAUUUUUAAUUUUUUUUUUUGUCUUCCUUCGUUUCGCGUGAAUCUCGCUGCGAAUGCCUCUCGCUCCGAGUUCGUCUUUUCCAGGACACGGAAAGAUCAGGCGAUGGAAACCCUGGCGUGCGCUCUCCUGACGGUCAUUGCGUCCUUUUUGUUACCUCUCGAAGGCUGAUGAGCUUGGUUUGGGAAAAGGUGGUUGUGCUUCCACGCUGAAGUUACUUGAAUGUGUGUGUGUGUUCAUGGUCCUGGUAAGCCUUUAGAGUCCAGGUGCUGUGGUAAAAAUGAUCUGCCUAGCAUGCAGCAUGACUUCUUUGAUGCCUUUCAUGCCUACGUUCAUCAAAAUUCUCCUUUCAACUUCACUUUUUUUUAGGGCUCUGUCCUCUUUUCUCUUCCUCCUUUUCUCCCCAGGUAGAUUAAAGAGGGUUUUGUUGUAGGGAUCAGGUUUUGUCUGCUGGGUUCUGGGGGAGGGGGAAGCGGCGCAUGAAUUCGAACGUUCAUUUUCCAACCAGCAAAACCAGUCAGGGCAGGUAGGAGCAGAACCAAGAAACCGAAUAGGAGGGAGCCAUGGGGGAAAGCCAGUUUCACCGAGGUGUCAUGGAGAGCUUGGAAAAAAAGACGCCUUCGGAGAAGUUUUAUGGCGACUGAAAUGAGAUUAGUGUACAUUUUAAAGAGAUCUAUGGAAAGAGAAUUGUUGCAUUUCAACGAGCACCUUGUUGGGUACUGCUAACAGUGACCCUUUGAAAUGCAACGUGCUAGAGGCUCCUUUUUGAUUUAUUUGUGUCGAUUGCCACUUUUCAGUUAGUUUUUAAACUAACUGGCAUUUGAAUGUAUUUUAUUGUAUUCGCAAAAUGCCCAACCCUCUAGUUUUAGACGUACGCUCGUUACUUCUGCUACUUUGGAGCCAGAAUUAAUUCCUCAGCUGCUGUGCUGGAAGUGAAGGAAAUUGAUUGGGAACUUUUCAGCCGCCGUUGUUGUUCAGGUGCAAGGGGAGAUCUCGUUCUGCUUCAGUCAUCGGUUUCCGCUCAUGGCACGGAGGAGCCAUUUUGGGUUCGUUUUGUUUAUUCUUUUCUUACCUGAGGCUUUUGUGUGUGUGUGUGCCUGGCAAAACGAGCAUAAUUAAGUCUUCUCCCCGUUCUCGCGCUAGUUCGCUCUCGUUGCGGAGGGAGCGGUGCCAGCUGCGACUAGCCUUUACUUGCGCUGCCUGCUUGGACACCAAAGAGGCAGAAGACAAAACAAAGUGGUUUGCUGCGUUUUUGAAGUGUUGAAGUCUAGUAGUGGGCUGGAGGCAGUCGCUGCGCCGCUUUCUCAGACGGGCAGAUCGAGUCGAGGUACCCAAAAAGCCCCCUCUCGGCUUCUCCGCUUGGGUCGGCAGCUGGAGGGCGAUGCUGUUGACGUGGUGAAUUUGGAUGGAGGAAUAAGAGGUGUUUUGUAAGCAAGCAGGCUUCUUGUAUAAUGCGUCUACCCGGAUUCAGGAAGAGGCUCUGGGCUGGCUUUGCAGACACUUUGCAGUCAGCAGAAAAUGUUUGCUCACUCGUUCCCUCCACCCCUUUGGUAAAACAGCCUUCGAGAAAGUUCUGCGAGGCACCGAGCUGGGCCGAAAUAACGCCAGGGGAUCCGGCUUCUCAGAGCCAGGGAGCUCGAGCUUGCCCUGAUUUAAAUGCUGUUUGAUUUAACUGAUUUCAGGAAGGGCUCUAAUGGCUUGUUUCUGAAAAAUUUUGUCAGGAUCGCGUGAAAUACUGCUAGAUUAUGUACCCCCUCCUUUCCAGUGAGGUUAAUUCUUCAUUUUUAUUUCUACGUAUAUUUUCUCCUAGUAAUUGCAAGUAUUUAAAUUCAGAUGACUUAACUUCUUCCUUGAAAGAAUUAUGAUUUAAAGAUUCUUUUGCUUUGUUCUAGACUCCUCUGCAACAGAAGAUUAGUUUGUGCUUGUGUGAAUCUCAGAGAACAGUAUUACUAUUGAAAAAUGGUGUGCUGUUCCGUCAGCACACAAAUAGCUAGCUAGGAGGUUUUUUUCCAUUUAAUUUUUACUUUGCAAAUUCUGUACUGGUCCCAGUCUUUUUAAUUGGCUUUGAUCCCCUUUUUAAUUUAACUGGCAUUGCAGCUUGCAGAUGUGGGUGUCUGAAUUUCGGUGCCUACACAAAGCUGGAGGUGUUACAUGGAAGGCUUUUGCAAACACCUUUGCUUGUGGGUGUGUAAAGGGCUCUCAAAUUCAAGGAUUUUAAUUAUUGAAUCAUUGGUUAUUACUAAGUGAGAAAUUGAGCUGUUAAAAGACACUGUUUGGUGUACAGGCAACUGAAGUUAAACAAUAAAAAUGUUACAAACUUGUAGAAAACCAUGGGAAUGCCAGGAUUUUGGAAACUGUUAGCUAAAUACCACAUUCUGUCUCCUCUUCCCAUUCUGCCCAGCAAACAAUUAUCCUGGUGAAGACAUGGAGAUUUCUCAGACAAAAUAAAUUACUAGCCAUGGUAAUCAUGAACCUAAUCCUGGCUAUUUUAGUACAUUUCAGGAAAGCUAAAAAUUACAACUUCCAAGUCUGGCAUCUUGUAGAAAUCGCUGGGGAUGACCAGCAUCAAACGCCACAUGCCAGAUACAGUGAUGCUAUUUGGUAUUCCCAACAGAGCAGGGGCUCAGUUUUUCUGUCUGGAGCACCAAGGGAAACGUUGGUCUGUGCAGGGAAUGAGUUCAGAGGAGUGUGGGUCCUGAAGCUGACCCGCUGACACAGUUUUACUGAUAAAAAUGGAGUAAAACUUAUUUAUUCCAGAAAGGAAAAAAAAAUCCUCCGUGGAACAAAGAUUUUAAUUUAAUCAGAAUUGAAAUGAAUGAAAGGGCACAUUAAAAUAUACUUCAGUUACGAUAUAACAGUUAAUGAUAGUGUUUGAAAAUUGCUUCAAUAUGACAUUCAUUAAACUUUAAAAACCCUCCUAGGUUUCCCCUUUUGUGUGAAUGUUUGCUCAUCUAAGAAAUAGGGUUUUCUGAGUGUACUUAGUUGGAGGGGAAAAAAAAGGGAGAAAAGCUGAAGUGCUUAUUUUCUACAUUCCUAAUUAAAAAAAAAGAAAGAAAAAAGCAUGUAAUGAGAUUUCAAAUUACAAAAAUGUAAAUUGGACAUAAAAUAUGAGUGCAAUCAGAUGUUAAUUUGUUAGACAUUUUGUUUGCAAAACAAGUUAAUUAGAAUGUUCUUACCAUAUUUUGGGCAGGGGAAAGUGGCCCGAGGAAAUCACAUUUCACAGUCGGGAUGCACAUUUCACUUUAAUUAGGUUUGUUUUUUUUUUUAAUGGCUCUGUCAUUAGAGUCAGAUAAGUCUGUUUUAGGGGCUUACUAUUUUUUUUUUUCAAUCUUCGGUGGUGGCAGAAGUAAUCCCGAUCAAUAAGCCAUCUGAACUCUAGAAACAGAACUUGGUUUGCACUGAUGCUUUUAAGCUUUCAGCUAAGCCUGGCUGUCCUUUCCAACUCCAGGUAUGGCUUUUAUCUGAUGGAGCUCCGAGAUAUAAAGGCUUAAGUUUCACAUGCUUUGUUCUUUUCAUUGGGCCGUGCCUAUUGAUUAAGGCUCACCCUGCAGGUUAACCAACAAGUUAUUUUUCCCCCCACCGGAGCUGCAUUCCUUUCCAGACCUGCAGCUGCCUGGGCAAAGCCGGGCACCUCCGUGUCCCCCCUGGCAUAUCUGAUACCCCAUUAAUUGAUACCCGAUUGUUUUAAGGCUGGGGGAACUUUGUCCGCCUACUUGAGAAGCGGGUGGGGGAGGCGGUAAGAAGUAGAAGAGGGGAGGAGAAAGAAAGGUAAUAUAGGUGCAGAGCUAAUUACUCACCAUGUUUAAAGAAAAAAAAAAAAGGGGGUGGAGUUCAUUUGAGUUCCUUGUUUUCCACUCCUCUUCAGUCAUUCUUUCCUUUUUUCUCAAGGCCUGAACAUUGGUAAUAGUGGUGAUGAUUAACUAAAUGAAGUUGGUAACCUGGGCGACCAUUAGGGUGGUUUUAUAUUUCAUGGGUACCGCAUAGGCAGAGAAAGCACACUAUUGAGGACUCGGAAAAAUGAGACUUUUUUUUUUUUGGUUAUUUAUUAAUUUAUUUAUUUUGUUGUUGUUGUUUUGCUGGUGUUUUUUGCCUUUUUUUUUUUUUCAUUGUGUUUCUUUACUUUGUGUUUCGCGCCUGGGUGUUUCACAACGGUAAGGCUACAAGCACCUUCUUCCACGUUUCCCUUCUGCUCCAGUCUUUUUCGUUCCUUCUCUCCUUGAUCCUUUGAAAGAUCCUGUGUCUGACUAAAUUGCAGUUUCCCCUUGUUUCCAGGCCCACCUGGAAAACACUAUCCUGGGGAGUAGGAGGAAGGUGAAAACUAUUUAUUUCUCAAUUUAUUAGAUGUAUGCUAGAUUAAUUGGCUUGGAGAUUUAUCUUUCAUGAUGCAUCUUACAUUUGUCCUGCUUUUGACAUAAUAACAUAGUGCUAUUCUCUUGAGACACAGCAUUUAAUUUCAUGCUGUCACCACGCUUGUGUUGAGUGUACUAAAAGCAAGUUCGGUCUUCUGUGGAACAAGAAAUUCUCAAAACUUUCAGGCCUCUGGUGGGCAUGAAUUGUCUGUUUCACUGGCAGACGGAAUGUAAGCAGCAAGCUGGUGCCAUAGCUUACCGCUUUUGUUUGUUUGUUUUUGAGGGGGUAAAUAUUAAUAAUUGUUGUGCUUUGUAGAUAUGAAGUCUCUCUCAAAACAGACAAGAAAAAUAGCUGAACAUUAUUAGUUUAUUAGUCAAGUGAGAAAUAAGCAGGCUGUCAGUUUCCAACAAACUAUUUUUAUUUGGAGAACUAGAUGGAAAUAAACAUGUUGGAUUUAGUAUUAAAAAAGAGAAAGAUCCAGGGUUAUGAUUUGAUGUGAAAUGAGGAUUCAUCUGGGAAAUGUGGGCUUUAUAAGUGAAUGCUUCCUUUUGACUUGUCGUUGUGCAGACCACGCUGGUUAGUGGGAUCCAUAACUCGUUUGAAAGGUGGCCCAUGCCUUUUUGGGGGCUUCUGUGUCUGCGAAUUUGUCGUUGCAAGCAUUGUGCUGGCUAGAGCAGGUGGCUGGGUUUGCUGAUUGUACAGCAUGGCCUGUGUCUCCGAGUAACCUUCUUAGGGAACGCUAAGCAAAACAUUCAAACUGUGGCCAAUUUUUGGCAGCUCUCGCAGAAAAGAGAAAGAAUUACGAAGGUUCUUUCCAUCCUAGUGUGCAGGGUUGCACAUGCUGAAGUGAAGAUCAAAAUAUCACACAAAAUUGCAUUUAAAUAUUUAAGCUAGUUUUUAUAAAACCAUUUUCUCAACUCGUACCAAUUGAUAUUAGGUUCGGUGUUGGUCCUUUGGCUGCCAACAGAGAAAAAAAAAUCACAUUUUUUUUACAAAGUAUAAAUUUCCUCUGAUUUUUUUUUUCUAUUUAUCACUUUUGAAACUUGUUUUGUACAUGAAGCAUCUCCUAUGGUACUAAGGAGGAAAAUUUAAACAGAUGUAGUGUUGUGCAGAAGAUAACACAAAGGCUCUUUCUCUUUUCUCUAUUCCAUUAUUGACAGCAGUUAGGCAAACCAAGCAGAUUAUUAUUCAUUCAGUGGAUUAGCUCUAAAACAGUUCCAGAAAGUACACGGUAAGAAUUUAGGUUUUCCUGGAAACUGUUUCACAGUUUUUGUUUGCUACAAUCAUAAUUUUUUUCUUUUUUUUUUUCCCCUUUUUUCCCCUGCAGAAGACAACGUUUUCAUUGCAUAGUGCUGAGAGGUAGGCCACAAAUAAUAUGAAAUUAAAAAAUUAAUUAAAUUAAAAAAAAUUCAGCAGCCGUUGUCGGGUUGAAUAAUGAUUAACACAGGAGCAAGGAAUGAGGACUGUGUGUUAGAACUGCAUUAUGCAGCUAAGAAAUAUGUGCCUUUGUAGUAGUCAUCUUAGCGUGUUACCGUGUACCAGCUUAUACAGGAAACCCAUGCAGAAUUGCAGAGGCGUGUAGUUUUGGGUUUUUUAACUCCAUUCUCCCCGUUGGUUUAAUCUCAAGGUAUUUGUCUCUGGUGGAAGUCAGUACAGGACAAGGCCCUAGGAGGUGUCUGAUGAGGAAGUCGGUGUAGCACUGAUGUACAGUUCUGAUACUCCUUUGAGGAGUUUCAACUCCUUUGAAAGUGCUGGGUUGACCUGGUGAGCCAACAACAUAUUCUUUUGGUGCACUCUGCACCAACAGGGUCCCUGUUUUCACUCAAAACUGAAAUGGGGGGCAUUACAAAGCACCCAUUUAAUGCAAUCUAGGGCCUCACCCAAGCACAGGACUCUCUUGAGAGCAGUUCUGUCAGAGACCAGAAGCGAAGGAAGCGUGCAGGAAGGGCUGGAUGCCUCCACAGGUCUGUUCCAACCUCUGGUCGUAUAAUAUUAUACUAUUGUCCCUUCAUAAUAAUACACCGAGAGUUGAAUCCUGCUCCAGGCUGCCAUUCCUGACGUACUGUGAAUGGAUAGUAAAACGUGUUAGCAGAGGACCUGGUAUGUCAAAAGGAUUUUAAUUAAAAACAUCUUUUUUUUUUUCCAUUGCUAAAAGGAGAAACAGGACUGAGGCCUUUCACCCGUCCAUGGUGAAUUUAAUCAAGACUGGUAUUUUUUUUUUUUUUUAUGUCUUUCAGCAUGUGUGAAGGGAAUUGGUCGAUCCAAUUUCAUUUCUUUAGGAACAGGCGGACCGUAGCUGCACACCCCCUCAUGGAUUUCUUAGCCUUUUGUUCACAACUGCAGAAGGGAGGGUGAGAAAUAGCAGAGCUUUAAAGGUGGAUGGGCAGCCGUGUUUCUCUUUAGGCCCUCAGAGAAGUGCCUGGACACCUGGGCUGAGGGUUGCCACAUCUGACUGCUGUUUUGUGCUGGUUCAACAUGGUCAUUGCACCCUUCCCAUGCCUUGGUUCUUCUGCCCUGAAGACAUCCAAGGUGUUUUUCUAUCAGGAAAUAUGUCAAAGUCAGGAGGGUGAAAGAGUUUUUAAAGGAAAUAGCCCUGAAAAAAAAAAAUAAAUAUCUCAUUUACUUUCCCUUCUGCCUUUUCCUUCUUCUAUGUACACUUACUGUGGAAAGAAGCAAGGCUUUCCUCUGUCACUGCAACAUCUCUCAUUUCAGAUGUUCUCCACCUCUGGUGGGCAGGAGAGAUGUGAGAGCUGAUAGAAUACUGCUUGCCAGUGGUAAGUAUGCUUACCACUAGCACUGAUUUGUACAUUCUGGAUACAGAAAGAUGCGUACCAUUGAAUCUCUUGGCAAGAUUUGGAUUUUACACCUUUUGAAGCAUUAGUUCUUGACAUUAUGUAUAUGCUUUCUGGCUUGAACAUUUGUCUUGGUCCAUCUAAUAUCUCUGAGAUUGUUGCAAGGUUUCAGUAGUAAGAAAUGGGCUUAAGAAAAGAUCCACUGAGCCCAGGAGCAGUGAAUUGUUAGCUUAGGGUAUAUUUUUAGUAGUUUUGCUCUUGUGCUCAUGAAAGCAGGAGAUGCUACCUUCUAGCUGGGCCACAGAUGAAAGUGUUUUGGAUCAGGCUGAAAUGUUCCUGCACCAUCAGAGAACAGCAGGAUCGUGCCCUCUUUUCCUGCUGGGUUGAUUCCCGGAGCAUCAUAAACGAAAUGGUGGUUGCCUUGAACUGUCCUUAUGGCGUCUUUGAGAUGGCAUCCGAAAUGCUAGGUGGGGCUGCUAAGGGUCACGUAGUCUGAUCCGAGGCUAGAUGGGGUGGCUCAGCACCUUUUCCAGCUGAGCUCAGAACAUAGGCAAGGACACAGGUUUCACAACCUCUCGUCUCACCCGAGCGGUGACACCGGUCUGUGACACACGCAGCGUCCUCCAUCUCAUCUCAGGAGAAGGUGGGGCAAUGACUGGGCGCUUGCAUGCUCAUGUAAAAUGUUUAUGCAUUUUUCCCUUUGCUGUCACUAUUUUUACGUGGCAACGUAGUUUCCUGGCAGCUUUCCAAGGUUACCGUGGUGUAAAAUGUUAAGAUUAAGCAAAGGCCCUGUUGCAGCUUGAAGAGGACAUUUUAAAAAAGAUAAAUCUCUGUGUUCUCUAUGAGCUCUGACGCCUCAGGUAUUUUCUAUUCCAAGUUCGAGGGAGAAAAACAUUUCCUGUGUGCCUCCAGUUGUAGUAAGUGCUGGCAAACUCCAUCCACAGAGAAGCAAGGACAAUUCCAUGUGGUUUCUGAGGGCAGAACUAGAUGGAUAAAUUCAAGUUUGUGAUCCCACACUCACAUAUAUCGUGAUAGCACAUAUUCAGCAGACUAAGUUUCAUCCACAGUGACAAACCUCUCGAUGUUCAGUCUGUUGAGGUUUUGGCCUGUGAUUCUGCUCUGCUGGAUGACUUUUUCUGUUGAAGGUCUGAUUUUAUUUGUUAUGCAAUUUAAUAUUUUUCCCCUAAUUAUACCUAAGUAUCAUGUAUUUUUUUAUAAUCUGUGGUCAGUCAAGAAAAUUAUUGAUCUAAUAUUAAACAAGCACAGUUUUCAUACAUACCAACCUGAUCUGUUAACGCAAUCUGAGGUUUUUUUUUUCCAUGGAAAUCCUACAUUUUUGCUAUUCCAACUAACAUGUAGGCCACUGUAGACAAAGAGCUAUUGUUUAUUUCUUCUUGCUGACUUUCUUCAGUUGAUGUUAUUGAUGUAGAAAAGACACUUUCUGUUGUAAUGGUGAAGUGGAGCAUGUUUGUUAGCUGCCUCAGGAAGCUUUAUCUUUCUUGGCACUUACCUACCACCAAGGGGCUGAUGGCAUUCAGUGUCUUCUUGUUAACACCACCACAAAAUGUAAAAGAAAUCCCAACCCUUCCUCCACCCCUAUGUUUUUUUGCAGUGAUCUUUUUAGCUGUUCAUAAGUUGGCCUUCUGAAACAGAAGGGAAAAUCACAUGUGUAUUUUUGUUCAAAUGUCAAUGCAAGGGCAUGGCACGCAGUACAAGGCUUUAGAGGUUGUGUGGGGUAGCCUCAUGGAAGAGCUCUUGUAAUGUGACUUGUUGGCAUCAGAAUUUGACUGGAAUUUCUCUUAAGUGAAAUUUGAGGAAAUGUUUUAUAGUACAGUGACCGAUCUAAAAUAUCGGGUAAUGCAGAGAAUGACAUGACAGUUGUACAUCUUAAACCAGUGGGGUUCCAGUUGCUCUCCAGCUGCUUUUCACUUUAUUUUUACCACCUUUCUACUGAAUGCAGUCCUACUGUUCAAAUGGUUGCUGUGCAGCACAUAGUUUGGGAAUGGUUUUCACCUUACUGCAGUUUGGAAGUCUUCAUGCAAGCAGUAAGGGCUUUUUUUGCUGUUGUAAAUUAAAACACAAGCUCCCUUUGUUCAGAAAUUUAGCUUUUUUGACUUAGAGUUAUCUGGAAUCAAACUAAAAUGUCUCUUCCCCUGCUUUCAGCUGCACCUUUUGCCUCCCUGAAUGUUGGAGGUCAUUUUGUUGUUGCACCCCAUCACGAACCACCCCAGUGUGGUUUUGGCUAAGAAACCUAGCAGCUCUGCAGGUAAAGGAGGAAAUGGGAGAGGGAGGGAAUGACAAACCCCAUCCUAUACCCACACUGUGGGUGGAAAUGGAGAUUUCCAACGGGUUUUGGAAUGCAAUGGAAGGUGUGUUUGUCAGGUGAGCCUCUUUGUGCUGAAGAAACUGUAGUCAUGCGUUUAGUUGCUGCAGAGCUUUUUUGGAGGAUUAGGUGCGUUUCUUAAUGUAAUGCUUCAAUAUCGUAAAAAUCUACACAUGCAAGAAUCUUGUAAACAACGAGAGGAUCCAAGCCCUCUGUGUUUAAACACUCGUGUUUUCCUUGUAACAACCGUGCAAAAAAUAAAUCUGAUUAAAACAUGA